UCUCCUCUAAAUCCUGUCUUUUUCUUUGUUCCUUGUGUUUGGUAGGGAGGAGGUAAUUUUUCUCUGUUUGGGGCUUUUGAUGCGGGAAAUUAGGUUUUUCCACCUUCUUAAUCGAGAGUGGUUUGUGGGUUCUGUUGUUCUGUAGGCGACUGAUCUGAACCCCGAUCCAUGACAUCUGAUGUUUUGAUAGAAUAAGGGCUGAGAUGAAUCUUUAAGUUUCUGGUAAUUGAAGUUUGAGCUGAGUGAUCAGUGAGGUUUCUCGUUGCCCUAACAUCUGGUUUGGAUUCUUCACGG
rnacentral:lncRNA from 1 species